GAUCAUGGCUCAGGACGAACGCUGGCGGCGUGCCUAACACAUGCAAGUCGAGCGAUGAAAUCCUCGGGAUGGAUUAGCGGCGGACGGGUGAGUAACACGUGGGUAACCUGCCUUGUAGAGGGGGAUAGCCUUCCGAAAGGAAGAUUAAUACCGCAUAACAUCUUUUUAUCGCAUGGUAGAAAGAUCAAAGGAGUAAUCCGCUACAAGAUGGACCCGCGGCGCAUUAGCUAGUUGGUGAGGUAACGGCUCACCAAGGCGACGAUGCGUAGCCGACCUGAGAGGGUGAUCGGCCACAUUGGAACUGAGACACGGUCCAGACUCCUACGGGAGGCAGCAGUGGGGAAUAUUGCGCAAUGGGGGGAAAAACCCCUGACGCAGCAACGCCGCGUGAAUGAAGAAGGCCUUAGGGUUGUAAAGUUCUGUUUACGGGGACGAUAAUGACGGUACCCGUGGAGGAAGCCACGGCUAACUACGUGCCAGCAGCCGC
rnacentral:rRNA from 1 species